rnacentral:rRNA from 1 species
AGCGAACGCUGGCGGCAGGCCUAACACAUGCAAGUCGAACGGUCCUUCGGGAUAGUGGCGGACGGGUGAGUAACACGUGGGAACGUGCCUUGUGGUUCGGAACAACUUGGGGAAACUUAAGCUAAUACCGGAUAUGCCCUUAGGGGGAAAGAUUUAUCGCCAUUAGAGCGGCCCGCGUCUGAUUAGCUAGUUGGUGGGGUAAAGGCCUACCAAGGCGACGAUCAGUAGCUGGUCUGAGAGGAUGAUCAGCCACAUUGGGACUGAGACACGGCCCAAACUCCUACGGGAGGCAGCAGUGGGGAAUCUUGCGCAAUGGGCGAAAGCCUGACGCAGCCAUGCCGCGUGAAUGAUGAAGGUCUUAGGAUUGUAAAAUUCUUUCACCGGGGACGAUAAUGACGGUACCCGGAGAAGAAGCCUCGGCUAACUUCGUGCCAGCCGCCGCAGUAA